UACAGAGGUCCCAAGCGUUGUUCGGAUUCACUGGGCGUAAAGGGUGCGUAGGCGGCCGGGUAAGUCUGAUGUGAAAUCUCACAGCUUAACUGUGAAACUGCAUUGGAUACUAUCCGGCUAGAGGAAUGGAGGGGAGACUGGAAUACUUGGUGUAGCAGUGAAAUGCGUAGAUAUCAAGUGGAACACCAGUGGCGGAGGCGAGUCUCUGGACAUUUCCUGACGCUGAGGCACGAAAGCCAGGGGAGCAAACGGG
rnacentral:rRNA from 1 species